GGAAAGUAAAAGUCGUAACAAGGUCUCCGUAGGUGAACCUGCGGAGGGAUCAUUACAGAGUUCUCGCCCUCGCGGGUAGAUCUCCCACCCACUGUUAUCGUUACUGUGUUGCUUUGGCGGGCCGCCGGGCCCCGCUCGGCCGCCGGCUCCGGCUGGCGCGCGCCCGCCAGAGGCCCAGCAAACUCUGAAUGUUAGUGUCGUCUGAGUACUAUAUAAUAGUUAAAACUUUCAACAACGGAUCUCUUGGUUCUG
rnacentral:misc_RNA from 1 species